ensembl:lncRNA
GGCCCAUGUUGACUCUACAAGGUGUUGAAAGCAGGGAUACUGGCCCAUGUGGACUCUACAAGGUGUUGAAAGGGUUCCACAGGGAUGCUGGCCCAUGUUGACUCUACAAGGUGUUGAAAGCGUUCCACUGGGAUGCUGGUCCAUGUUGACUCUACAAGGUGUUGAAAGCAGGGAUACUGGCCCAUGUGGACUCUACAAGGUGUUGAAAGCAGGGAUACUGGCCCAUGUGGACUCUACAAGGUGUUGAAAGGGUUCCACAGGGAUGCUGGCCCAUGUUGACUCUACAAGGUGUUGAAAGCGUUCCACAGGGAUGCUGGCCCAUGUUGACUCUACAAGGUGUUGAAAGCGUUCCACUGGGAUGCUGGUCCAUGUUGACUCUACAAGGUGUUGAAAGCAGGGAUACUGGCCCAUGUGGACUCUACAAGGUGUUGAAAGGGUUCCACAGGGAUGCUGGCCCAUGUUGACUCUACAAGGUGUUGAAAGCAGGGAUACUGGCCCAUGUGGACUCUACAAGGUGUUGAAAGCAGGGAUGCUGGUCCAUGUUGACUCUACAAGGUGUUGAAAGCAG